rnacentral:lncRNA from 1 species
AUGCUGGUUCCCGAGCUGAAUGAUGUACCCAAGAGGCCAGGUAGCUGCAGCAGGUGCUAAGAUGAGGAGGAGACGCCAUCAUGGGGUGCAAAUAUGGAGCACAAAAGGCUGGACCCUCAUCCUUUUAGGCAGCUGCUGCUGAAGACAUCUGUUUCCCCUCUCCCCUCCUCAGGCCACCACCUCCUUCAUGCUCCUCUGUGAUCACCUCUCCAAGUCCCGGUGUCAGGAGCCUUCUCUGUGGCCGCCCUGGAGAGACUUGAGCCUGGGACGUGACGUGCUGGGCUGUGAAGCUUUCUGAGAAGGGAAACCUGUGGCCUGACCUGCCUGAAUGCUGCACCCAACCUCAUCUCUUCCUGGGAGAAACCAACAACUGUCAGCAUUGACACCAUCAGGCCUUUCUCUUCUAAUUUAACCUUGCAGCCAACCACACGGCUAUCUGUGCGGGAUCUCUCCCCAAGCUCAAGGACAUGAGAUGCGGAUCAGGCCCAAGAGGCUGGAUGCCAAACCUAUCCUCUCCAUGUGAAGCACCAACUUGGGGGUGUCAACUAAAAAUAUGAGACCCGUAAACUUGGAAAGGAAGACUUUAUUUCUUGAGAAGGGUUGCAAACUGCAGGCUGGGAAGUGGCACCUCCAGCUGAGACCACAAACAGUGGACUUUCUCAAACUGGGGUAUUGACCUCUGAUGAACCGCCAUGCAAACCCGUGCCUUUCAACAUAAAAAGAAGCCCUUCGAGGUGCUCACCUUCAAGCUUGCUAGAGGAGGAGGAAGAGCAGGUUGAGUUUGACAUAACUAGAAUGGGUUGAGCCUUUCCAGCAGAGUAAGGUUCUUUCAUGGUGGACAGUGGCCACCCACUGCCAUUUCUACAAGAAGAUUUUGCUUCUUAGGCACUGAGUUCCUGGUUCUUUCACUAGAGAAAAAUGAGUAGGUUGGCAAUCCAGUACUUCCAUCUUCUGUGAAGACCUGGGCAGGCAACGGGGGCUUGGGGGCGGGGGCAGGGACCAAAGACAAGGCUGCCAUUUGCUGUGCCCACCACAGAGGGACAUUUACUCCACCUGAAGCACAAGUAUUUUCUCAGUGAUGUUGGCUCCUACAAAGUCAAAAGGGGUAGGCUCCCUGGCUUACGCUCCAGGAGUUUGGACUGAAAGGGACACUAAAAGUGUCUUCCUCUAAGUUUAUGAUGUUGCCCUCCUCUGGCUACAACAGUGCUCUGGCCAUAAGCAUCCCAGGUUCUCUGAAUGAUGGUGGGUAUGGAAAUGUUCCCAAACACAGGUAUGGCGGUGUCCCCUCCCACUGUACCAAUCUAUGCCCAGGGCUGGAAGGUCCGUGGUGCUCUGAACUGGAUUCAUAAACAGUAGCAUCUCCAACCACAAGUGUGGUGUCAGGCCCUCCAACAGUAGCACAUGUGCUCCCGUGGGUGCCUGAUAGAAAGUGGGAACAUGUGUUUAUUAGCCAGGUGGGCCCCAAAUGCUCUGACGAGGUGCAGAAAGAGGACUCUUUGUCACAGUUGUGCUGUGCCCUCCCAUUGCAACACAUGUGCUCUGAACAGGUGGAGCCCAGGUGCUUUGCAUGUAGGCGGACACAAGAGGGCCUCUAAGCACAAGUGUGGUGUUGGAACCCUCAAGGCUACCGAUGCAUUCUGGCCAGGUGUGUCCCAGGUGGUCUGACUAUAGACAGCAACAGAAUUAUCUCCAGCACCGUUAUAGAGAUACCCGUCCAACUGAUGUGCUCUAGCGGGAUGGGACCCGGGUGAUCCGAACACAAGGAGGAACAGAAGUUUAUUCUGAUAUAUGCUCCUUCUUAGCGAUGUUAUCUCCUUCAAUAGUAACAGGUAUGCUUUGGCUGGGUGGGCCUCAGUCACUCUGUAGCCAGGAAGGAAAGGGCUCCCAAAACAGAUUUCUGCUCCGUAGAGCUGAUCUUCCCUCAUUGCAACAGGGAUGCUAUAGGCAGGCAGGACCUGGUGCUCAGGUCUAAGCCCUUCCUAGAAUAAGUUGUGGUUCUGAGUGUUGUCAGCCCUUCUGCAGAUUUCAAUGACCCCUGACAAGGAGCCAGGGUUUGG